rnacentral:siRNA from 1 species
CUAGACGAGAGCUUUUGAAGUCGU